ACGGAGGAUGCGAGCGUUAUCCGGAUUUAUUGGGUUUAAAGGGUGCGUAGGCGGAUAGAUAAGUCAGUGGUGAAAACCUGCAGCUUAACUGUAGACUUGCCGGUGAUACUGUCCGUCUUGAGUAUGGUCAAGGUAGGAGGAAUGUGUAAUGUAGGGGUGAAAUGUUUAGAUAUUACAAGGAACACCGAUGGCGAAGGCGUCUUACUGGACCAGAACUGACGCUGAUGCACGAAAGCUUGGGGAUCGAACAG
rnacentral:rRNA from 1 species